GAAAAUUGUUGGCUUGUGAUUGGGAAGAAGUUCGCCCAGAUGUAGUGAUAUUAGGAAAAGCCUUGGGUGGUGGAGUGAUCCCUGUAAGUGCAGUUCUUGCAGACAAAGAUGUGAUGCUCUGUAUCCGACCUGGAGAGCAUGGAAGAUUGCAUUUCAAGUACUAGUUAAGGCAUUGAUUAAUUUGGAUCCUGGUGAGGAAAUGGAGUCUCUAAGAAAACAAUUUCAAGAAUUCAUUGCAGGCCUCAUGUCAUUACCAAUAAACAUUCCUGGAACUAGGCUUCACAGAUCAUUACAGGCAAAGAAAAAAAUGGUGAAACAAGUAUAGA